GAACUGCUGAGGAGUCCCAAAAGAGGAGGAGACGGCCGUCCAGUGC
rfam:Schistosoma rodhaini strain Burundi genome assembly, scaffold: SROB_scaffold0013112